CUCUAAAGUUCCACUAGUCCAUGCUUCUGCUUUCAGCUUAUUAUGAACUGAUCCGACCCUUCUGUUGUUGUUCAGUAUAAACAAAUCGAGAAUCUUGUGAAAAGGUUCUCUAUUCAAACAACUUACCUUAUAUAUUUUAUUUUACUGUUCAAAAGAAUGAGCAUUCCAACAAUUGUUGAUAAGGAAGAUUUUGUGAAGCAAUCGUUAUUCAAAUUUCUUAGAAAACAUAUUCCCAGUGCACAAAUCAGUUCAAUUGACGAAAUAGUGCUGAGCUAUGUUGUAAGCAUUCUGGAGGAUCUGGGCACUGAACAGAGUGGUGAAGUAGAGGAAGCUUUCGACGCAGAGGGUUUCUGUGAAAUGAUGGCCGCUUACUUUCCGCAGUUCUCCACCAUUGGAUUGCCUGAUGUCUGCAUGUGGAUGUUUGAACUAGAAGCUACACUACGACAACAAAAGAAAAAAAAUCACUUGGAUUUUGAACUGUCUGAAAUGCUCGUACCAAUGUCAGUUUCACAGCGGUCUCAGAAUUCACCGCCGCCGACAGAAGCGAGCACUGAAAAAGAAAAGGUUGAAACAAAUUCAGACUCAACUAACUCAACUAAACGCACACAUUUGUUGUCGGAAACUUCGGAGGGCAGCUACUGCUCAGAUAGCAGCGGCGAGUUCUACAAUGCAGAUGAUUCAAAUGGCAUGAGCCAACAGGCACAACUGUUGUGUGAAAUGUUCCCGUCAGUAUACGCAAUAGAGGUGCGUCACUGCUUGACUAUUGCCAAUGGAGAUAUAGCUAAAGCUGCUCAACUUGUUCUUCACAGACAGGAAGCUGGACAGAGCCUGGUACCUACCACUGGAGUUUUACAGUCGACUAAUACACAUCAGAAAUCAGUGGUUGAUGACCAAGAGCUCAAAUCAAGAAUAAUAGCUCGCUACAGUUUUGUCGACAAAGACGAUGACAUUCGUGAACACAGACCAGUUGCUCCAAAAUCGACGAAGAUGAAAAUUCCACCGUUGAUAAUAAUGCAUCAAACUCUGGAAACGAGACAGAAACGGACUGUACCAAUGAAGGAUUCCUUGCAAGGCAAGCGGAACAAGAAGAUAGAAAGAAAAGACCCAGGACCGCAUUUACUGCAAUUCAAAUAAAAGCAUUGGAAGCCGAAUUCGAAAAAAAAUAAAUAUCUAUCGGUUGGAAAACGACUUCAACUUAGUAAAACUCUUCGUUUGUCAGAAACUCAGAUCAAAAUAUGGUUUCAAAACAGACGAACAAAAUGGAAGAGAAAGUACACAAACGAAUUGGAGAUACUGGCACAACAAUACUGCAGUUCACUUGGUGUAGUGGCUCCAAGACCUAUGUUUUUGGGGGAUCGACUAUGGUUCUUCAACUGUCCCAACUCGACUUUCCCAACUGCUCAACCAUUGACUCGCAAUGUACCGCAUCUGUAUCAACCAAUACCUGGAUGCUCAAUGGUAUAUUGCAAUCCUGCUGACCAUAGAUAGAGAAAAUACCCGGCGUGAAGAUAAUCAAAUUCUGGGUUAUCUUGAAAUUGAUCAACAGCGUUGAUAUUUUUUUCUAGGAUAUAAGCCUAAGCUUACCUAGGAUUAUUGAUCGAAGAUUAUUGCCUUUUUAUAUUAUGGUUUUGAGACUUCAAUUAUGUAAAAUCAAUGGAAACGGAUGGCUUGUCAAUGAAUAACAAGUGCAUAUUUGAAGAAUGUGCAAUUGUUCAAUCAUCAAUAUAAUGUAACAUCAUUGUACAAUAAGUACAAUCAUCCACAAAAAUGUAAUUGUAGUUUUCUAUUUCUUAGCCAUCUAUUUUAAGUUAUAGAUCAAAUAUCAUUUCGUUAACUCCGAUAAAUUUUUAAAAUAUCAAUGAAAAUAAAAAUGAUUAUGUUUUCUUAAUUGAUUUAUAAUUUCAUAACUUCGUUAAAAGGUAAAAUUCAUUUUAAAUUCAUUCGCUAUAAGUUCGUAACUUAUUAUGACAAAACUCAAGGCAAACUUUGUUAGAAGUCUGAAACAAAACAAAUGCCACUCGUUUUAAAUCUCCAUAAAUUCUCGUAUCUAAUUUCGGUGAAUUAGAAAUGAUUUUAUGUUUUUCAAAUGUGAAAUAAUUUUUUUUUCUCUUAUUGUAUGCCCGUAGCUUAUUGAAAAUAAUCAUCUUACAUAAUCAUCUAAUCAGAUAACUUAUUAGGCAUAGAAUUGUGAAAUUCAAUGAUAUCAUUUACAUAUAUUACAAAAAAUAUAGGUUGCAUAUACUGAUGUGAAAUUUUCAAUUUAUCUAUGUACUGUACUUCGGAGCAGUCACACUCUUGUGAAUGAAUUAUUGUCAUAAAUUAUAUAAUAUAAUAUAAUACUAUACUAUGAA